UGUCUCAAAGAUUAAGCCAUGCAUGUCUCAGUACAAGCCAAAUUAAGGUGAAACCGCGAAAGGCUCAUUAAAUCAGUUAUGGUUCCUUAGAUCGUACCCACAUUUACUUGGAUAACUGUGGUAAUUCUAGAGCUAAUACAUGCAAACAGAGCUCCGACCGGAGACGGAAGGAGCGCUUUUAUUAGAUCAAAACCAAUCGGUGUCGGGUCCGUCCCGUCACCGUACACCUUGGUGACUCUGAAUAACUUUUUGCUGAUCGCACGGUCUCGCACCGGCGACGCAUCUUUCAAAUGUCUGCCUUAUCAACUGUCGAUGGUAGGUUCUGCGCCUACCAUGGUUGUAACGGGUAACGGGGAAUCAGGGUUCGAUUCCGGAGAGGGAGCCUGAGAAACGGCUACCACAUCCAAGGAAGGCAGCAGGCGCGCAAAUUACCCACUCCCGGCACGGGGAGGUAGUGACGAAAAAUAACGAUACGGGACUCAUCCGAGGCCCCGUAAUCGGAAUGAGUACACUCUAAACCCUUUAACGAGGAUCAAUUGGAGGGCAAGUCUGGUGCCAGCAGCCGCGGUAAUUCCAGCUCCAAUAGCGUAUAUUAAAGUUGUUGCGGUUAAAAAGCUCGUAGUCGAAUUUGUGUCCCGCGCCGCCGGUUCAUCGCUCGCGGUGUCAACUGGCGUGUCCGCGGGACGUCCUGCCGGUGGGCUUAGCCCUCAGUGGGCGGCCCAAUCUCAAUCCCACCGCGGUGCUCUUCACUGAGUGUCGAGGUGGGCCGGCACGUUUACUUUGAACAAAUUAGAGUGCUUAAAGCAGGCUAAAACUUCGCCUGAAUACUGUGUGCAUGGAAUAAUGGAAUAGGACCUCGGUUCUAUUUUGUUGGUUUUCGGAACCCCGAGGUAAUGAUUAAUAGGAACGGAUGGGGGCAUUCGUAUUGCGACGUUAGAG
rnacentral:rRNA from 1 species